rnacentral:rRNA from 1 species
CCUACGGGAGGCAGCAGUAGGGAAUCUUCCACAAUGGGCGAAAGCCUGAUGGAGCAACGCCGCGUGGGUGAAGAAGGUCUUCGGAUCGUAAAACCCUGUUGUUAGAGAAGAAAGUGCGUGAGAGUAACUGUUCACGUUUCGACGGUAUCUAACCAGAAAGCCACGGCUCACUACGUGCCAGCAGCCGCGGGAAUACGUAGGUGGCAAGCGUUAUCCGGAUUUAUUGGGCGUAAAGGGAACGCAGGCGGUCUUUUAAGUCUGAUGUGAAAGCCUUCGGCUUAACCGGAGUAGUGCAUUGGAAACUGGGAGACGUGAGUGCAGAAGGGGAGAGUGGAACUCCAUGUGUAGCGGUGAAAUGCGUAGAUAUAUGGAAGAACACCAGUGGCGAAAGCGGCUCUCUGGUCUGUAACUGACGCUGAGGUUCGAAAGCGUGGGUAGCAAACAGGAUUAGAUACCCGUGUAGUC